UACGGAGGGGGCUAGCGUUGUUCGGAAUUACUGGGCGUAAAGGGCGCGUAGGCGGUUAGUUUAGUCAGAGGUGAAAGCCCAGGGCUCAACCUUGGAAUUGCCUUUGAUACUGGCUAUCUUGAGUUCGGGAGAGGUGAGUGGAACUCCGAGUGUAGAGGUGAAAUUCGUAGAUAUUCGGAAGAACACCAGUGGCGAAGGCGACUCACUGGCCCGAUACUGACGCUGAGGCGCGAAAGCGUGGGGAGCAAACAGG
rnacentral:rRNA from 1 species